rnacentral:lncRNA from 1 species
UGGGUGGGCACAGCUCCCUGGAAUGUAACUGAUGUGCCCAAAAACCAUAUUGGCCCCUGCAGUACCUACUACACAGGACGAGCCAUUACCAACCGUUAUGCAGGAAAUCAGUAUGGCAUGAUAGAUAUUAUGCCAGAAUAUUGUUGGCUGUUAAAGCCAUCAAAUGGGCAUCACCCUGCUGGAUGAAUAGGAUGAUAUUGAGUCCAGACCCUUACCAUUUGCCUUUAUGCCAAAUUAUACCCAUACCCUCUAUGCACAGGUGUGUGUUAUGCCACCCUUUGCCAUGCUAAUAAUCAAUGAUACUGAGGGUAUAAAUAUCACUCAAACAGAGAUCCCUUGUGCUGACAAUAUAUCCUGCUGGCUCACAAAUUGUCUAAUCCCUGCUAUGACAGCUAAACGUGUAUUUAUCCUCAGAGUGCCCCCAGCAGUCUGGCUUCCAGUGACCCUGUCCAGAGAGUGGAGGAGUCCAUGGGACAUGGAGAUGAAGAAUCUUCUACACCAGACAAGGCGUGCAAUUAGCCUUAUCAUCACUGGGAUUAUUGCCCUGGUGGCUGCCAUCGCUGCCACAGCCACUGCCGCUGCUUCGCUCACCCAGAAUAUCCAGAUGGCUCAGACUGUGGACAAUGUGUCUACUGCCAUGGCAGAAGCCUUUUCCAUUCAAAAUGACUUAAAUAACCUGUCCUGAGCCACUAUUUUAGUCAUUCGGCAAGCACUAGACCUCCACAGGAAUAACUAGAUAUUCUGUUUAUGUUGUAAAGGCUCACUUAUGACCCUGAAUUUCAUAGUAUUUGUGUCAUCCAAUAUGCUGUAUCUGAAAAUGUAACCUUACACUUCUCCAAUUUUUCUCAGUAUGUUAAAGGUGCUUGGGAUAUUGACUAUAUUAUGACCUUACUAAGGUAAUUGUUAAAAUCAAUGAGACUAAGGUGUCUAUCUUAACAACCUCUUCUUUCUUCCAGGGAUUGAAUAAACACUGGAAAAAUCUGAUAGCCAAAUUAACUUCUCCUUAUAAUGCUAUUAUCCUGG